AGCGAACGCUGGCGGCAGGCCUAACACAUGCAAGUCGAACGAACCUUUCGGGGUUAGUGGCGGACGUGUGAGUAACACGUGGGAACGCGCCUUUAGGUUCGGAAUAACUCAGGGAAACUUGUGCUAAUACCGAAUGUGCCCUUCGGGGGAAAGAUUUAUCGCCUUUAGAGCGGCCCGCGUCUGAUUAGCUAGUUGGUUGAGGUAAUGGCUCACCAAGGCGACGAUCAGUAGCUGGUCUGAGAGGAUGAUCAGCCACAUUGGGACUGAGACACGGCCCAAACUCCGACGGGAGGCAGCAGUGGGGAAUCUUGCGCAAUGGGCGAAAGCCUGACGCAGCCAUGCCGCGUGAAUGAUGAAGGUCUUAGGAUUGUAAAAUUCUUUCACCGGGGACGAUAAUGACGGUACCCGGAGAAGAAGCCCCGGCUAACUUCGUG
rnacentral:rRNA from 1 species